GGUGAACGCUGGCGGCGUGCCUAACACAUGCAAGUCGAACGGUAGGAUACCUUCGGGUAUCUGAGAGUGGCGAACGGGUGAGUAACACGUAGGUGAUCUACCCUCAAGAUUGGGACAACCCAGGGAAACUUGGGCUAAUACCGGAUGAAAGCAGCAGUGAUGUUGUUUGAAAGGUGGCGUAAGCUGCCGUUUGGGGAUGAGCCUGCGCUCUAUUAGUUAGUUGGCGGGGUAAAGGCCCACCAAGGCGAUGAUAGAUAGGCGGCCUUAACGGGUGGUCGCCCACACUGGGAUUGAGAUACGGCCCAGACUCCUACGGGAGGCAGCAGUCGAGAAUAGUCUACAAUGGCCGAAAGGCUGAUAGUGCGACGCCGCGUGAACGAAGAAGCCCUUCGGGGUGUAAAGUUCUUUUAUAUGUGAGCAGUGCUUUCUAUGUGAACAGCAUGGGGAGAGAGAUAUUAGCAUAUGAAUAAGCAACGGCUAACUCCGUG
rnacentral:rRNA from 1 species